GGCUGCCUAGAGCCACAUCCAGCCUAGCCAUGAAUACCUCCAGGGAUGGAGCAUCCACAGCCUAAUUAUUCAAACUGUUUCGGUGCGUCAACAACCUCUGGCUGAAAAACUUCACAAUAAUAUCUAACCUAAACCUCUCCAGUCUCAGUUUAGAAAUAUUCCCCUAUGUACUAUCACUAUACACCCUCGUAAAUAGAUGUUCCUCUUCCAGUUUAUAUGCUCCCUUCAAGAGCUGGAAGGCCACUAUGAGGUUUCCUGAGAGCCUAUUCUUCCCCAGGAUAAACAAAUCCAGUUCCAUAAACCUUUCCUUGUAUGAGAGGAACUCCAGCCCUCUGAUCAACUUAGUGGCCCUCCUAAGGAACAAUUCCAAGAGAUCCACGACCUACCUGUACUGGGGGCCCCAGGCCUGUUGGCAGUACUGCAGAUGGGGCCUCACAAGAGAAGAGGGGGGAAAACAAAUCCCUUUUCCAGCUGGCCGCCAUUGUUUUAAUCCAGCACAAAACACAGUUGGCCUUCAGGACUGCAAGCGCAUACAGCUGAAAAAUUUACAGCUCCGUCUCGCGUGCUGCAUAUGGCAAAGCAGGCAAAACACUGGCAGUUCCCUGUGUCACAAUCGCACUGGCAACAUGGCCAGCAGUGGGAGAUCAUGGAAAAAGCAGCACCCCUCUGCUAGGCCGUGGCAGAAGAGAGCAGGAUGGUGAGCAGAUGCACAGGUGAGAGGGCAGGACAAAGGAGACAGAAGGGAAGGGCAGGGCCUGAGCAAGAAGGUAGGAAUGGCUUCUCCUUCUCCAGGGACAUUGAUACUAAGAUAAGUAAUUGAGCUAACAGAAGCAUGGCAGUAAUUUUGGCAUCAGCCUCUGGCAACUGCCUUGGUGAUGUCCAGGACAUGUCACGGCAGGCAUAACAUUGGCAGUUCCCUGUGUCACACAGGCUUUGGCAUUCCAGUGGACGUAGGGCAAUAAUAAGAACAGCUCCACUGGUCAGCCAGCCCAAGCCAGAGGAGAGAAGAGGCCCAGAGGGGGCUAUGACCAGAGCAUGGUAGCCUCCUGUCCUCUGCUGCUCACCUGGAGAGAUGUUCCACCUUGCACAGGGGCAUCUAUUCAAGUCCACACUGGCAAAUCUGCAUGUAAUUGUGUCCUUGUUAACCUACAAGAAAGUACUCCUUCACUCUUUCAGCUAGCAAAUGCUUCAUGUUGUUACUGCAAACUCUGCAUGUCCAGUGUAAUUCACUGACAGCCUCGCCCUCUUCACACAAGGUGAGAAAAUUGUACAUGAAAAGGUGAAAAACAAGUCAAGAAAGAAAUGCAGAAACAGUUUGAAGAUGGCCUUGGAGGGCAGUCAUCGCUCCCCAGGUCUCGUGUAGCAGAAAGAUUUUACUAUACCUCUAACAAAUCAGCAUGGUUGUGUUGUAGCUGUGUCAAGCAGAGUCAGGGUCCAGAUCUCAUGACUCUGUGAUGCUGCAUAGGUUUCACACUGGUCACUAAGGCUAUGGUUCUCUCCAUGGUUCUGCUUUGGACUACUUUGACUGGUGCCAUCUAAGAUGGAUUUGUUCAGCAGAUUUGAUGUGAGCCCAUCUGUACAAUCUGGCUUUGAUCAAUCACUGCUCUCUUGCAUUUAGCAACAUUGGCAUUCCAAGUGGAGGUCCUUCUAAGUCCAAGAUGAAUAGCAUGAACAGUGACUAUCAAGGAUAAUUUGUUUUUUCCUGUACUGAUUUAAAUGGAUGAUAGGACUUAGUUACUCCGUGUAGUCCAGAGAAAAAGACUAAAAGGAAGAUUCUCAAACACAAAUGUCAGCUGCUAACUUAACCCUUGAAGUGCCUAAAACAUCCGUAUGUAUCUCAGACUACCUUCUAAGCAUUCUCUGCAAAUGAUCACUCCUUGACUUGUUAUGAUGCUGAGCAUAUCAGAACUUAUCUUAGACCAGAACACUGUACAAAUGCCUGGUUAGGCCUUUCUCUGCACUGUUAAUCUUCAGCAUUACCACUCACUGCAUGACUGUCAGACAAGAUGCUGCACACACAAGAGCAAAUCAUAUCUUUUUUUUAGCAUUUUUAAUAUUUUUAGUCAAGAAUCACUGCAUUCACCCACAAUGAGUCAGGCUUAGGUUCAAGUACAUCAUGUAUCUGAGUAUUCAGCUGUGGAAUAUAUUGGAGAAAGAUUUUCUCAUUAUUUCAGUGAGAAUCUUCUAAAAUACAAAAUACUUACUGAACUAAGUCACUGAAGAUCCUUGUAUAGGAAUGUUACCUAGACACACUAUUUAACAUACAGGUAUCGGUGUGAUGAAAAGAAUGUUAUUUGUGAUGCAGAAAAUGCAGCAGCAAUCCACAAGAUGAUCAUUAGCAGGAUAAACUUGGCAUUGGUACCUCAGGGGCCUUCUUGACCCAUCACUGUGGCAUUGCAAUAAAUACAAUGUAGAAACAAGCUCUGCAGGCAGACUUUGACUUAUAACCUCCAUACAUGUCCUAAGGAUCUGUGAUGCCUUAUUUCCUUGAGUUCACCCUGCAAACAAUUGCUAUUGACUUUGUGUGCAGAUAAAAUGAUUCUUCAGUUCUUAUCAUCAUUUGAUUUAUUUUAACAGUAUCCACUAUCUGCUGGGGACACUUAAAAUGAUACUGAGAAACUGGAAAUGGAAACUGGGUGACAUGAAAGCAUGCAUCUUUUCCAUCUAAGUGUUAAAAUCUCACAAGACUAUGGAAAAUAUGGUUGCUCUACUCCUUUCCAUGUCCACUGAAAGAGUAAUCCGACUAUAUCCAGCACAGCAGGAGGAAUGGAUGGACAAAUCUAUACGACAUUAAGACAGUUCACUAUACUCAAUCUUAGCAGUGACACUGCUAUUCUACAGGCACUAAAAUGAGAGCUGCCUCUUUAAUUCAUUCCUACCUUGCUCUGGAUCUCCUCUGUGGGAAAGUUUUGCUGUACAUCAAAGUCUCUGUUACAAGUUAGGUUCUGUGAGGUUUCUCUGACACUUGAUCUUCCCUGGAUUUUUUGUUAAGUUUUGAGAUAUGCAUUGUCUUUGUGAGUGUACACAUACAGUGUUUAGCAGAACGGGGCUGAGUGCUACCAUAAUACAUCUCAUUAACAAUAGCAACUGCCUAUGGCUUCUGUUGUGUAGAAUAAUGAUCCUUUCUUCGUAAGUAGUAACUGCCCAAAAGGCAAAACUUCAAACUCUACUGGUCUUCCACCUGAGAAAUUUUACAAUAUGAAAGUAAUGUAGUAAUUCACUUACAUGAAAAUAAAUCUUUGCUUUCAAAGGCUGUUUUCAUUAUAGCUUUAAUUUUAAAGUCUCUUAAAUUUAUGCCAUUUAAAUCUGAACAUUUUAGAAGGAAGAAUUAUGUCCAAAUUUUUAAAACCCACUUUGUCUAUCUAUUUGACUUAAGAAUCCAAUUUGUUACCUGACUUCAUUGUUAGUAUGCUGAUUACUUUGACAAUAUCUUUGAAUGAUGCUUGGAGGAUUUGGCUUUAUUCAAAAGCAGAUGUGUGUUUGCCUUAAUGCUUUAUAUUUCUUUGGGGAGUUUUUAACCAGAGCAUAAUUUCUGUUCUGUUUGAAAUCACAUUUGUUAAUUU